rnacentral:misc_RNA from 1 species
AUAAGUCUGAAAGAGACAAUGGGGUAAGAGUUCGACUUCUUAUAUUUUACUGUAUGCCUACUACUAAAUAAUGAUUGGUUUUAAAAGGACAGCAAACAUUUUGUUGUUAUUAUUCAUCAGAUGGAUGGUAAAUUCGCAACUAUAAUUGAUUAAGAUUAAGACCUUUAACUGAAUUUGUGACAGUAAUUAAUGUAAGAUUAUGACUUUUAAUUGUCUUCUUGAAACCUUUUAUUGA